rnacentral:tRNA from 1 species
AACUGGUUACUUAAGCGGUCUAAAGGCUUAGCGGACCCAAGAGGUCCCGGGUUCGAUUCCCGCUUAAGCUA